ensembl:snRNA U6 U6 spliceosomal RNA
GCACUGGCAGUGCAUUUGCUAAGAUUGGAGUGAUACAGCGAAGAUUAGCAUGUCCCCUGUGCAAGGAUGAAGUAUUUCAUAUUUUU